rnacentral:lncRNA from 1 species
CUACUUGCACAUUCACUGCAAUAUUUUAAAAUACAUUUUCUAGAGUACUUUUAAUCAAAAACUUUGGAUUAUUUGUGUUUUUUGGGCACAAAAUUACUUACAAAAUUGUUUUACAUUCUUAUAAUAAAGUGACAUUUUGUUGUUUAUACGGUAAUUUUUUACAUGCAGUUUAAGUUGUUACAAAAAUAAAUUUUAUUUAAUUAUCCUAAAACUUUUAAGAUUUUAAGUUUUUUUCAAGCAU